rnacentral:rRNA from 1 species
UACGGAGGGUGCAAGCGUUAUCCGGAUUCACUGGGCUUAAAGGGUGCGUAGGCGGGUUGGUAAGUCAGUGGUGAAAUCCCCGAGCUUAACUUGGGAACUGCCAUUGAUACUAUCAGUCUUGAAUAUUGUGGAGGUUAGCGGAAUAUGUCAUGUAGCGGUGAGAUGCUUAGAUAUGACAUAGAACACCAAUUGCGAAGGCAGCUGGCUACGCAUAUAUUGACACUGAGGCACGAAAGCGUGGGGAUCAAACAGG